rnacentral:rRNA from 1 species
GACGAACGCUGGCGGCGUGCUUAACACACGCAAGUCGAACGGAAAGGCCUGCUUUCCCUUGUGGAUUGCGGGUACUCGAGUGGCGAACGGGUGAGUAACACGUGAGUGAUCUGCCCCCAACUUGGGUAUAAGCCUGGGAAACUGGGUCUAAUUCCCGAUAGGACUGCAGGGUGGUGCCUGUGGUGGAAAACGAUUUUCUAGUGGUUGGGGAUGAGCUCGCGGCCUAUCAGCUUGUUGGUGGGGUAAUGGCCUACCAAGGCGGCGACGGGUAGCCGGCCUGAGAGGGUGGACGGCCACAUUGGGACUGAGAUACGGCCCAGACUCCUACGGGAGGCAGCAGUGGGGAAUAUUGCACAAUGGGCGGAAGCCUGAUGCAGCGACGCCGCGUGGGGGAUGACGGCCUUCGGGUUGUAAACUCCUUUCGACCGCGAGGAAGCCACCUGGUUGGAAGGGUGGUGACGGUAGUGGUAGAAGAAGCACCGGCUAACUACGUG